rfam:Rattus norvegicus chromosome 3, whole genome shotgun sequence.
GGGGAUUUGGCUCAGUGGUAGAGUGCUUGCCUAGCAAGCGCGAGGCCCUGGGUUCGGCUCCCAGCUCCG